rnacentral:ncRNA from 1 species
AGAUGAGAGAAACACCCCACCCACAGGGGACUGUGGGUGACAUCGGGCCGAGGCCUCCCCAGCUUCGACCUGGUCGUGCCCUCGCGCACAAACCCGGAGCUUUCGGCUCUGGAUCUCCUCACCGAUCGGA